CCUACGGGAGGCAGCAGUGAGGAAUAUUGGUCAAUGGACGAGAGCCUGAACCAGCCAAGUCGCGUGAAGGAUGACUGCCCUAUGGGUUGUAAACUUCUUUUAUAUGGGAAUAAAAUGUUCCACGUGUGGGAUUUUGUAUGUACCAUAUGAAUAAGGAUCGGCUAACUCCGUGCCAGCAGCCGCGGUAAUACGGAGGAUCCGAGCGUUAUCCGGAUUUAUUGGGUUUAAAGGGAGCGUAGGUGGAUUGUUAAGUCAGUUGUGAAAGUUUGCGGCUCAACCGUAAAAUUGUAGUUGAAACUGGCAGUCUUGAGUACAGUAGAGGUGGGCGGAAGUCGUGGUGUAGCGGUGAAAUGCUUAGAUAUCACGAAGAACUCCGAUUGCGAAGCAGCUCACUGGACUGCAACUGACACUGAGGCUCGAAAGUGUGGGUAUCAAACAGGAUUAGAUACCCGAGUAGUC
rnacentral:rRNA from 1 species